CUCCUCUCAGGGUCGUACCUAGAGAGUUUCCAGUACUCUACCGGUUCUGGCUGCGGGAGGGAGAGUCGAGCAGAGGCCUGCCCAUUCCAUUCCCAGCUUGGACAGUGGCUAGCGAGUGGAAAGCAAUCCGCUACAAGG
rnacentral:snoRNA from 1 species